UGCAAGGAUGAAAUGAAGAAAACAAUGCUACUGAUACUAAGUCUUUUACUUUUCCCAUCUUGGUAUAAUAUCUCUGUCUCAUCUGUCUCUGUCUGUUUCUGCAUAGCGGAAUCUCUCACUGUCUGUCUCUGUCUUUGCAGUGUGGCAGUAAUGCCAGAAUAAUAGGCGCUGCCAAUAUAAAUCUCCUCCAUCGGCCCUGUGGCGCUACACUUGUCACUGCCCUGAAGAGAGACGUGAACAUGUGAGAUGCCAUGGAUGAUCCUCUGUGGCGAAGCAUUGUAUGGUUACGUAAUGCGUUUAGUAUUCAGAGAGGAGAACGAAGAAAGAGGAGGACAGAGAAGAGAUGGGAAGCAGAGGUGGAAAGAGUCAGAGCUACAUGAAAGAGAGGCGAGAAAAUGAGAGCAAUCACCAGACUGAAAAUACGCCACAUACAGAAGGAAAUCCUGCCUUUUCCACAACAACACAAAAUGUGACCGCAGAUGGAGUUCGAUGUUGUAGGUGCAGUUACUGAAUGCACUGUGAGUUCCCAAAUCCAGAAUCCAGUGGGUCAAGCUCAGGUCAAAGCCAAAGUCUUCAAUUACAUGUGACACAUCUUGGACUGGUGACGUCUCCAGGUUGUAGCUGACCCCUUCCCCAGUGUUGGCUGCAGUACGCUCCAGCCCCUUGGAUGGAUACUGGCAGAAUAGAUGGUUCAGCUCUUAACAGGAAGAAGACUCUCUCUUUGUCUGGGAUUUGCAGAGCAAGACAGUUGACAACAUUGCAGCUGACAAAGCUUGCAACCGGCAGUUCCAACCAGUGUUACCGAGGGACAACAAGGACAGCGACAAAUCUACCCAGAGUUGAAGAAACAGAAGCAGCCACAGGUGCAGACGACAAAGCUGGUACAGAGAAAAAAAUAAGCCGUCAUGUUGGCAUACUUUGGCUUCAGCAAAUACGAUACAGAACGGAACAAAGCUUUAUGCAAAUACUACAAGAAAAAAGUUGUGUCUCUGCAGGGAAACAAGCCCGAUUUGUUUAAACAUCUUAAACAACACCAUGUCACGGAAUAUGCUGGGUGUGUGUCAAACAAAAAGGUAACAAGAGAAAAUCUAAUACCUAUCCAGGAGACUUUGAGACAAAGCAGCCGGUUACAAAGAUGUUUGCUAAAUCUGUUCUAUAUGCUCGAGUAAAUAAUUUGUUAAGCACCUUUGUUUGGUGCGAAAUGCCUGCGCUAUUUAAGCUGUUCAGUUGUUGAUUUCACAAAGUAACAAGAGAUUAGACACAGUGCUGAAGUUUUAUUUUUAUUUCAGCAAAUGCUUAACUAAAAGUCUGAACCAGUGAAUAUGACAUAAAAUAGAUGUUCUCAGGGCAACGCAAUACGACAAUGGAUGAUUUAAGUAUAGAUUUUCCUCUAAAGGGAACUAAAGUAUUAAAAAGCUUGGCUAAAAGCAAGGCGUUCUUACUGGUGAAUAUCAAAUAAAUGUAACUUGGCUUCCAAAUCAAUCAUUCUCUGUUUACUGCAAGGUUGAAAUUAUUUAAAAUGUCUGCUUUGAAGAUAGAUGUUGAG